CCACCUAUUCACUCCCGAAACACUUCACCCCUCCCAACACCACGACCCAACCAACCCACCUUACCUUUGAGCUGGCUCCUUGAAUCCUGAAUGGCAACACCAAAAUAUUUUAGUCCACGACAGACCAGAGAGACGACGCACGUCGGACUGACCCGCUUUCUCCAUCCUGACGCAGGAGCAGAGACUGUAGGCUGCCCUGCUUUUUACUCUGUCUCUCUCUGUGUGUGUGUGUCUCCUCUCUCUGUCUCAGCCUGCACAAAGCCACUAAAAGAGUUUAAAAAGAGAGGCAGAAAAUCCAAAUCGAAAAGUUUAGGAUCAGGACGUGGCUGGCUGGCUGCACCUCGGAGAGAAGAAUGACAUCAGGAACAAAAAUACAGACGGAGAUGAGGUGACUUGUGCGCUCGCCUGGACUCUGCCGCUGCCGUGGGAGCCUCCAGCUGUGCGCCGGAGUUAAACAAGAGGCUGGGGUGGGGGUGGGGGGGACCCACGUUUUGGAUGUUUUCACCGAGGAGCGCACAGAGACGGAGGGAGAGACACCGACCUUCCCACCGACCUUCCUCCUCCUCCUCCUCCUCCUCUUCCACACCCCGAGAAAGGACUCAGCGUAUGUGACCCCACAGCACUGACAUGACGCCAUCACUUGGUGGUCUGUGGACCAGAGUGUGUUCCCACCCUGACUGGAGGAUUCAAGUGAUGAUUGCAAGAAAGAGGAUGGAAUUUAAAUGGAAACUGACACACAGCUGAUGAAGCAGAAAGGAACAAUAAAAGGCUGUUGGCCCCGGCAGGGAGGGAGGAGGCAGCAGGACGGGCGGGCAGACUGAGAGACGAAAGAGUGUGGAUCAGCCGACACCUUUUUCUUUGCAGUAGCACGACCCGAAACCCUGAGAGUCAAGCCGGUUUGAGUGGGACACGCCCGGUAAUCCCGGUGUGGGAAGGAUGAGCAGGUAAAGUGGCCGAUGGGGCAGCAGCUGGACACCCGAACACACAGGUG